UAUAACGUGCUACCUUAGGAAAAAGAACGCUCUGAAUGACAGUAAGAGAAAAGGUCUACACCGCGCAUGGCAUCCUGGGACUUGCAAUUCUGCGAUUUGAGAAACCGCAGCAGAUCUGCUGAUUUUCUCCAAGUUCCAUUUGAACUGUGUGGGAUGAAAAUCACUCCAGCGAAGUGGGCGUCCGGGCUUCGCUGUCCUUCACCCAUUUAAUGCAUUCAGUUGGGUGCACUGCACACAGACCCUUGGAUGGAGCUGAGUGAGAUUUGAAGAAAGAGAGUGAAGUCAGGUGGGAAAAAGAAGGAGAAGAUUUGCGACUGAGGAGACAAACAGAAACCGAUUGAGAGACUGCAGAGAGAGGAGUGUAAGACCAGGAAAGAGAGAGCGAGAGAAGAGAUGGAGAGCAGGUACGGCAGGGUGGGUGGCCAGCCCUUUUUUUUACGCGCGUCCCGGCUGCCAGACCCUGGAGGGCACCGCCACCUCCACACGCGAGAUGAUGAAAGCGCCUCCUUGCACGGCCAAGCGAGCCUGAAAGCCUGAGCUUUAU